UUUAUGCAUAGAUGCGCAGCUACCAUGCAGUCGAGCGGUAACACGAGAAGCUUUGCUCUUCUUGCUCAAAGCCGCGGAGGGUGAAUUAUGUAUGGGGAUCUGCCCGAUAGAGGGGGAUCUCCACUGGAAACGGUGGCUAAUACCGCAUGUCGUCUACGGAAAAAAGCGGGGGCUCUUCGGACCUUGCGCUAUCGGAUGAACCCAUAUGGGAUUAUCUAGGGUGUGGGGUAAGGGCUCCCCUGCGACACUAUCUCUAUGUGGUCUGAGAAGAUGAUCCCCCACUCUGGGACUGAGACACGGCCCACACUCCUACGGGGGGCAGCUGUGGGGAAUAUUGCACAGUGGGCGCAAGCCUGAUGCCCCCAUGCCGCGUGUAUGAAAAGCGCCUUGGGGUUGUAAAGUAUUUUCCGCGGGGAGGAAGGUGAUAAAGUUUAUACCUUUUGCAUUUGACUUCACCCGCAAAAAAAACACCGGCUAUCUCCGUGCCCACCGCCGCUAUAAUACAGAGGGCGCAAGCUUUUCUCAAUAUCACUGGGCGUAACGCGCACGCGCGCUGUCAAUUAAGUCAUAUGUGAUAGCCCCGAUCUUCACUGGAACAUUGCAUCUGACUCUGGUUGGCUAGAGUCUUGUAGAGGGGUGUAAAAUUCCAUGUGUAGCUGUGAUAUGUAUAUAUAUGUAGAAGAAUACCUGUGGAGAGCGCCGCCCCCUGGACACACACUGACUCUCGCGUGCGAGAGCGUGGGAGAACAAACGAUAUUAUAUACUCGUAUACUCCACGCUAUACAAUGUGUACAUUUUAGAUGGUUGUGCUCUUGAACCUGUGACUUCUGCAGCUAACGCGAUAAUCUCCACCGCCUGGAGUACUACCGCCGCAGUGUAUACAACUCAGAUGAAUUGACGGAGCCGCCCGCACCAGCGGUAGAUGCAUGGUGUUAUUAAUUUCGAUGCGACGACGAAGCAUCCUCUACCUACUUCUUGACCUCGCGAGAGACCUCCAUUUAAAAAUAU
rnacentral:rRNA from 1 species